rnacentral:misc_RNA from 1 species
AUGCGAUAAGUAAUGUGAAUUGCAGAAUUCAGUGAAUCAUCGAAUCUUUGAACGCACAUUGCGCCCGCCGGCACUCCGGCGGGCAUGCCUGUCCGAGCGUCAUUUCAACCCUCAGGGCCCCCUUCCGGGGGGGACCUGGCGCUGGGGAUCAGCGGCCUCCGGGCCCCUGUCUCCCAAAUGCAGUGGCGGUCGCGCCGCAGCCUCCCCUGCGUAGUAGCACACCUCGCACCGGAGAGCGGCUCGGCCACGCCGUGAAACCCCCCAUUUCUCAAGGUUGACCUCGGAUCAGGUAGGAAUACCCGCUGAACUUAA